GUACGAUCGCUGAGCGGUUGG
rnacentral:siRNA from 1 species